rnacentral:rRNA from 1 species
AGAGUUUGAUCAUGGCUCAGGACGAACGCUGGCGGCACGCUUAACACAUGCAAGUCGAACGAGAGAAGAGGAGCUUGCUUUUCUGAUCUAGUGGCGGACGGGUGAGUAACACGUGAGCAAUCUGCCUUUCAGAGGGGGAUACCGAUUGGAAACGAUCGUUAAUACCGCAUAACAUAAUUGAACCGCAUGAUUUGAUUAUCAAAGAUUUAUCGCUGAAAGAUGAGCUCGCGUCUGAUUAGCUAGUUGGUAAGGUAACGGCUUACCAAGGCGACGAUCAGUAGCCGGACUGAGAGGUUGAUCGGCCACAUUGGGACUGAGACACGGCCCAGACUCCUACGGGAGGCAGCAGUGGGGAAUAUUGCACAAUGGAGGAAACUCUGAUGCAGCGAUGCCGCGUGAGGGAAGAAGGUUUUAGGAUUGUAAACCUCUGUCUUCAUGGACGAAAAAAGACGGUACCUGAGGAGGAAGCUCCGGCUAACUACGUGCCAGCAGCCGCGGUAAUACGUAGGGAGCGAGCGUUGUCCGGAAUUACUGGGUGUAAAGGGAGCGUAGGCGGGAUCGCAAGUCAGAUGUGAAAACUAUGGGCUUAACCCAUAAACUGCAUUUGAAACUGUGGUUCUUGAGUGAAGUAGAGGUAAGCGGAAUUCCUAGUGUAGCGGUGAAAUGCGUAGAUAUUAGGAGGAACAUCAGUGGCGAAGGCGGCUUACUGGGCUUUAACUGACGCUGAGGCUCGAAAGCGUGGGGAGCAAACAGGAUUAGAUACCCUGGUAGUCCACGCCGUAAACGAUGAUUACUAGGUGUGGGGGGACUGACCCCUUCCGUGCCGCAGCAAACGCAAUAAGUAAUCCACCUGGGGAGUACGACCGCAAGGUUGAAACUCAAAGGAAUUGACGGGGGCCCGCACAAGCAGUGGAGUAUGUGGAUUAAUUCGAAGCAACGCGAAGAACCUUACCAGGUCUUGACAUCGUAUGCAUAGCUCAGAGAUGAGUGAAAUCUCUUCGGAGACAUAUAGACAGGUGGUGCAUGGUUGUCGUCAGCUCGUGUCGUGAGAUGUUGGGUUAAGUCCCGCAACGAGCGCAACCCUUACUGUUAGUUGCUACGCAAGAGCACUCUAGCAGGACUGCCGUUGACAAAACGGAGGAAGGUGGGGAUGACGUCAAAUCAUCAUGCCCCUUAUGACCUGGGCCUCACACGUACUACAAUGGCUGUCAACAGAGGGAAGCAAAGCCGCGAGGUGGAGCGAACCCCUAAAAGCAGUCUUAGUUCGGAUUGUAGGCUGCAACCCGCCUACAUGAAGUCGGAAUUGCUAGUAAUCGCAGAUCAGCAUGCUGCGGUGAAUACGUUCCCGGGCCUUGUACACACCGCCCGUCACGCCAUGGGAGUCGGUAACACCCGAAGCCUGUAGUCUAACCGCAAGGAGGACGCAGUCGAAGGUGGGAUUGAUGACUGGGGUGAAGUCGUAACAAGGUA